rnacentral:rRNA from 1 species
UUACCCGACUUAGCUGAGAGGUGGUGCAUGGCCGUCGUCAGUUCGUACUGUGAAGCAUCCUGUUAAGUCAGGCACGAGCGAGACCCACGUCCACAGUUGCCAGCAUACCCUCCGGGGUGGAUGGGUACACUGUGGAGACCGCCGCUGCUAAAGCGGAGGAAGGAGUGGGCAACGGUAGGUCAGUAUGCCCCGAAUCUCCCGGGCUACACGCGGGCUACAAUGGUUGGUACAAUGGGCAUCUACCCCGAAAGGGGAAGGAAAUCUCUUAAAGCCAAUCGUAGUUCGGAUUGAGGGCUGCAACUCGCCCUCAUGAAGCUGGAAUCCGUAGUAAUCGCGUUUCAACAGAACGCGGUGAAUACGUCCCUGCUCCUU